AAGAUGAACGCUGGCGGCGUGCCUUAGGCAUGCAAGUCGAGCGGUCCCGAUUUAUGUCGGGAUUAGCGGCAGACGGGUGAGUAACGCGUAGGAACGUACCUUCAAGUGGGGCAUAGCCCCGAGAAAUCGGGGGUAAUACCCCAUACGGUGGGUGGAGAUUUAAGAGCAGAAUCAAAUGACUAAUUGACCUAAUUUCUAAUUGGCCUAAAUAAUGACCAAUGACUAAUGACCAAAGACUAAAGAUUUUAGACAUUAGACAUUUUAAAAUUGGGAUUUGAUUAGAAAUUAGAAAUUAGGAAUUAGGAAUUUUGAGAUAAAUUUUGGUAACAAAACUUCUGCUUUUGAAUCUCCACCCAUCAAAGGGAGUAACUUCCCGCUGGAAGAUCGGCCUGCGUCCUAUCAGCUUGUUGGUGGGGUAAUGGCCUACCAAGGCGAUGACGGGUAGGGGCGCUGAGAGGCUGGACCCCCACAAUAGCACUGAGACACGGGCUAUACACCUACGGGUGGCAGCAACCGGGAAUCGUGGACAAUGGGCGAAAGCCUGAUCCCGCGACGCCGCGUGGAGGAUGAAGGCCUUCGGGUUGUAAACUCCUUUUCCUCCGACACAACGUCGGGGGGAAUAAGGGCCUGCAAACUACGUGCCAGCAGCCGCGGUAAUACGUACGGCCCGAGCGUUAUCCGGAUUUACUGGGCGUAAAGCGUUUCGUAGGCGGCUGGGUAAGUAGCUGUGAAAUCCUUCGGCUCAACCGAAGUAGUGCUGGCUAAACUGCCCAACUUGAGAGCAUUAGGGGAGGCGGGAACUCUGGUGGAGGGGUGAAAUCCGUAGAUAUCAGGAGGAACACCGAGGGCGAAGGCACGCCUCUGGGAGGACUCUGACGCUGAGGAACGAAAGCUAGGGGAGCGAAGCAGAUUAGAGACCUGCGUAGUCCUAGCCGUAAACGCUGCUCGCUACCCCGACGGUUUCGUCGGGGGCAAGCUAACGCGUUAAGCGAGCCGCCUGGGGAGUACGGCCGCAAGGCUAAAACUCAAAGGAAUUGACGGGGACCCGCACAACCAGGGGAGCAUGUGGUUUAAUUUGAUACGAAGCGAUGGACCUUACCUGGGUUUGACAUCCUAGCGUUCUACCCCCGAGAAAUCGGGGGAAUCCGCAAGGAGGCUAGGAAAGCUGCUGCAUGGCUGUCGUCAGCUCGUGCCGUGAGGUGUUCCCUUAAGUGGGGAAACGAGCGCAACCCCCGCCCGAUGUUAAAUGUUCAUCGGGGACUGCCCCGGUCUACGGGGAGGAAGGAGGGGAUGACGUCAAGUCAGCACGGUGCUUAUGCCCAGGGCCACACACAUCCUACAAUGGCGAAGAACAGCGGGUUGCGAAGCCGCAAGGCGGAGCUAAUCCCUGAAAUUUCGCCUCAGUUCAGAUUGCCGGCUGAAACCCGCCGGCAUGAAGUCGGACUUGGUAGUAAUCGCGGAUCAGCAGGCCGCGGUGAAUACGUUCUCGGGUCUUGUACACACCGC
rnacentral:rRNA from 1 species